UUUUCGGCUUUCGGUACUGCAUGUCGAGCGAGAGAGCCAGUGUAGCUUGCUCCUUUGACGUUAGCGGCGGACGGGUGAGUAACACGUGGGCACCUACCCUAUAGUUUGGGAUAACUCCGGGAAACCGGGGCUAAUACCGAAUAAUCUCUUUUGCUUCAUGGUGAAAGACUGAAAGACGGUUUCGGCUGUCGCUAUAGGAUGGGCCCGCGGCGCUUAGCUAGUUGGUGAGGUAACGGCUCACCAAGGCGACGAUGCGUAGCCAACUGAGAGGGUGAUCGGCCACACUGGGACUGAGACACGGCCCAGACUCCUACGGGAGGCAGCAGUAGGGAAUCUUCCACAAUGGGCGAAAGCUUGUGGGAGCAACGCCGCGUGAGUAAGAAGGUUUUCGGAUCGUAAACUCUGUGGUAAGGAAAGAACAAGUACAGUAGAACUGGCUGUACCUUGACGGUACUUAUUAGAAAGCCACGGUAACUACGGGGCAACCGGCCGCGGAAAUACGUAGGUGGCAAGCUUUGUCCGGAUUAAUUGGGCGUAAGGGGGCCGCGGGCGGCCCUUUAAGUUUUAUGUGAAACCCACGGCCCACCGUGGAAGGGCUUGGGAAACUGGGGGACUUGAGUGCAGAAAAGGAAGUGGAAUUCCAAGUUGUAGCGGUUAAUGCUUAGAGUUGGAAGGACACCAGUGGCGAAGCGACUUUCUGGCCUGUAACUGAGGUGAGGCGCGAAAGGGGGGGAGCAAACAGGAUUAGAUACCUGGUAGCCACGCCGUAAACAAUGAGUGCUAAGUGUUAGGGGGUUUCGCCCUUAGUGCUGCAGCUAACGCAUAAGCACUCCGCUGGGAGUACGGCGCAAGAUGAACUCAAAGAAUGACGGGGCCCGACAAGCGUGGACAUGUGUGAUUCGAGCACGGAGACUUACAGUCUGAAUCGUGACAUGUGGAUAUAGUUCCUCAGGGCACGUAAGUGUCAUGUUCGUAGCAGUCUGAAGUCGAUAGUCGACAGGCACUGACUAGUGCCAUAUGACUAGUAUCGGUAACUGGAAGUGGUAGCAUCAGCUUAGACGUACACGUCUAGAGGAGUACAGU
rnacentral:rRNA from 1 species